GGACAAAUAUAGUAGAAACAUUUACAAGUUUAAGUCCAAAGGGGAUAGCGCAAACGGGACAACGAGACCCAUGCUAGGCGCACCCCCUCCAAAAAAAAGAAGAAAAAAACCCCCAACCUAAUUCACUAUAUACAAAUAUAUAUUAUAUAACAUGCGUAUUAAGAACGGUGGCAGGGGCAGUCUCUUGUGAGCGACCAAGUGCAUGCCAUAUCAACAUUAAAAGUACUGUUGACCAAGGCGGUGUAUGUCACAUGCAGAAAGCUUUUAAAAA